AUAGCUGGUGAAGAGUCCUUCAUGUCUGAGAUUCUGUGAUCGAGAAUCAGGAUUCUCUGAUCAUGAAUUCCACACAUUUUGGGUAUCGGGGUCAAGAGUCCCACUGGUUUAGGACUCUUCGAUCAGGGUUACAUAUCGAUGAAUUCUGAUGCCCGAUUACCCAUCAAAUUUGGACUCAAUAUUUAUGAGAGAUUUAAUUAGUAAUUUGAU
rnacentral:lncRNA from 1 species